GAGUUUGAUCCUGGCUCAGAUUGAACGCUGGCGGCAUGCCUUACACAUGCAAGUCGAACGGCAGCACGGGCUUCGGCCUGGUGGCGAGUGGCGAACGGGUGAGUAAUGCAUCGGAACGUAUCUUCGAGUGGGGGAUAACGCACCGAAAGGUGUGCUAAUACCGCAUAAUCUCUACGGAGAAAAGCAGGGGAUCGCAAGACCUUGCGCUCUUGGAGCGGCCGAUGCCUGAUUAGCUAGUUGGUGAGGUAAAGGCUUACCAAGGCGACGAUCAGUAGCUGGUCUGAGAGGACGACCAGCCACACUGGGACUGAGACACGGCCCAGACUCCUACGGGAGGCAGCAGUGGGGAAUUUUGGACAAUGGGGGAAACCCUGAUCCAGCCAUGCCGCGUGAGUGAAGAAGGCCUUCGGGUUGUAAAGCUCUUUCAGCCGGAACGAAACGGUCACGGCUAAUACCUGUGACUACUGACGGUACCGGAAGAAGAAGCACCGGCUAACUACGUGCCAGCAGCCGCGGUAAUACGUAGGGUGCAAGCGUUAAUCGGAAUUACUGGGCGUAAAGCGUGCGCAGGCGGUUUUGUAAGUCAGAUGUGAAAUCCCCGGGCUUAACCUGGGAACUGCGUUUGAAACUACAAGGCUAGAGUGUGGCAGAGGGGGGUGGAAUUCCACGUGUAGCAGUGAAAUGCGUAGAGAUGUGGAGGAACACCGAUGGCGAAGGCAGCCCC
rnacentral:rRNA from 1 species